rnacentral:rRNA from 1 species
UACGAAGGGGGCUAGCGUUGCUCGGAAUCACUGGGCGUAAAGCGCACGUAGGCGGCUUUUUAAGUCAGGGGUGAAAUCCUGGAGCUCAACUCCAGAACUGCCUUUGAUACUGAGAAGCUUGAGUCCGGGAGAGGUGAGUGGAACUGCGAGUGUAGAGGUGAAAUUCGUAGAUAUUCGCAAGAACACCAGUGGCGAAGGCGGACU